rnacentral:sRNA from 1 species
GGAUUCCCCUAGUAACUGCGAGUGAAGAGGGAAAAGCUCAAAUUUAAAAUCUGGCAGUCUCUGGCUGUCCGAGUUGUAAUUUAGAGAAGUGUUACCCGCGCUGGACCGUGUACAAGUCUCCUGGAAUGGAGCGUCAUAGAGGGUGAGAAUCCCGUCUUUGACACGGACUACCAGGGCAUUGUGGUGCGCUCUCGAAGAGUCGAGUUGUUUGGGAAUGCAGCUCUAAAUGGGUGGUAAAUUCCAUCUAAAGCUAAAUAUUGGCGAGAGACCGAUAGCGAACAAGUACCGUGAGGGAAAGAUGAAAAGAACUUUGGAAAGAGAGUUAAACAGUACGUGAAAUUGCUGAAAGGGAAACGCUUGAAGUCAGUCGCGUUGGCCAGGGAUCAGCCUUGCUUCUGUGAGGUGUACUUCCUGGUUGACGGGUCAGCAUCAGUUUCGACCACUGGAGAAAGGCUUGGGGAAUGUGGCACCUCCGGGUGUGUUAUAGCCCCUUGUCGUAUACAGUGGUUGGGACUGAGGAACUCAGCACGCCGCAAGGCCGGGAUUCGUCCACGUUCGUGCUUAGGAUGCUGGCAUAAUGGCUUUAAGCGACCCGU